CGUUUCGUAGUGUAGUGGUAAUCACGGUCAUUUCACACGCGAAAGGUCUCCGGUUCGAUCCGGACGGAACCA